rnacentral:rRNA from 1 species
CAUGCAGUCGAACGAUGAAGCCGCUUCGGUGGUGGAUUAGUGGCGAACGGGUGAGUAAACGUGGGCAAUCUGCCCUGCACUCUGGGACAAGCCCUGGAAACGGGGUCUAAUACCGGAUAUGACACACGGCCGCAUGGUCUGUGUGUGGAAAGCUCCGGCGGUGCAGGAUGAGCCCGCGGCCUAUCAGCUUGUUGGUGGGGUGAUGGCCUACCAAGGCGACGACGGGUAGCCGGCCUGAGAGGGCGACCGGCCACACUGGGACUGAGACACGGCCCAGACUCCUACGGGAGGCAGCAGUGGGGAAUAUUGCACAAUGGGCGAAAGCCUGAUGCAGCGACGCCGCGUGAGGGAUGACGGCCUUCGGGUUGUAAACCUCUUUCAGCAGGGAAGAAGCGCAAGUGACGGUACCUGCAGAAGAAGCACCGGCUAACUACGUGCCAGCAGCCGCGGUAAUACGUAGGGUGCGAGCGUUGUCCGGAAUUAUUGGGCGUAAAGAGCUCGUAGGCGGCUUGUCGCGUCGGAUGUGAAAGCCCGGGGCUUAACCCCGGGUCUGCAUUCGAUACGGGCAGGCUAGAGUUCGGUAGGGGAGAUCGGAAUUCCUGGUGUAGCGGUGAAAUGCGCAGAUAUCAGGAGGAACACCGGUGGCGAAGGCGGAUCUCUGGGCCGAUACUGACGCUGAGGAGCGAAAGCGUGGGGAGCGAACAGGAUUAGAUACCCUGGUAGUCCACGCCGUAAACGUUGGGAACUAGGUGUGGGCGACAUUCCACGUCGUCCGUGCCGCAGCUAACGCAUUAAGUUCCCCGCCUGGGGAGUACGGCCGCAAGGCUAAAACUCAAAGGAAUUGACGGGGGGCCC